UAGAUGAAUAGAGCCGGCCACUGGAUUCCUGGAGGAAAGGCUGCGGAACGUCAGGAAGCGGCUGAGAUCAACCAGCAGGUCGCAGAGCACGGCACAGACACCACCACAAACGCCAGAUGAUGGCGCUCUAGCAAGGGCUCUCAUACCAGAAUGUACCAUAUCAGACGAACGUGGGUCACAGCUUAAAGAAUGGUUGAGAAAUAAUUCUCAGCCCCUCAGCCAGAUAGAGAACUACAUGCGGAACACAGCAGUCUACAGGGCCAAGUGGAUUAGGGACAACAAUUGGACCAUCGAUCAGAUCCUCGAAGAGUUCCCUCACCUAAUGACCAAAGGCAUGAUUGCACAGGCUUGUCCUGCAUGGGGAUGCUGCAUCAAAGUUGUUUGAAACUUGGUCAAGUGAAAUGCCAGGAGGGGAGUCUAAAAU